rnacentral:lncRNA from 1 species
AGACCGGAAGGGAGGGGGCGUGGCGAGGAGCCGCGGACGGCCGGCUUCCUGGCUCUGCGGCUGGGCUGAGGGGCCGGCUGCGUACAGUAGUGACGGCCGCGCGGGACCGGUCACAUGACCAUAGCGGCUGCCUGUACAGUAAGAACCCAAUAUGGCAGCAGCGGUAGCAGUGGCAACGGCAGCAGGAGGAUCGGCCGCCCCAUAAACCCCCCCGCGCACCUCCCCCGCCGCUUCCUCUGCUAGGUUGCUCCUCCGGCCUGACUUCCCCUUUCUCCCACCUUUCCCGGCACCGCGGGAAAAGCAGCACAGGGCAGAGAAGGCAGGGAGGGCGGCCGGAGCCGGGACACGGGAACCUCCUAGUCCAGUUCAAGACCCGACAUGAGGGAAAAGGGCCGUAGGAAGAAGGGCAGGACCUGGGCGGAGGCCGCCAAGACGGUAAGGGGGAGGGAGCGAAGGGGAAGGCCGGGAGGAUUUCGUUCCCUUGCUGCCCGCCGGUCUCGGGGGAAGGGAGGUCACUGGCCCCGCGACCCCGCUGAAGGCACAAAACCGCGCCGAGCAGGCGGCAGUUAGGGUCGGGGUUGCGGUCCCUGUGGGAAUGGAGGCGCUAGCAAAAGGGGCUCGCCGUCAGGCUGCGGCUUCUCCCAGCAUCUGUGACGAGUCCUCUUGGUGUUUGGAGGCUGUCUGGGGUCAUGUCACUGUCGCCCCCACUCUUUGGUAGCCUCCGCCCCGGCAAGGGGAAGUCUGUUGUGCUUGCACAGUAACCGGUUCUUCUCCCUUGUGCGCCUGGAGAGCCCCCAUUGGAUGCAGACAGGAGAAGGCUUGUGCGUGCAUCUAGCUCCGGAAAGAAGAAGGGAGCGCCGGAGCUUGUAGAAUUUACCCUCUACAGCCGACAUUCUGCCUGACCCCCUGCUUAUCUGGCUCUCGGAGCCGACGUGAGGUCACGAGGCUUUUGUUUUUGUUUUCUGUUGGAGCUGAAAGUGCUGGAGGUGUUUAGAAACGAAGUAACAGGUGGGACUUGUAGAAUAUAUAUAUAUUUUUUUUCAGUUUCCGUAGAGACCUACUCUGAACAAGGCAGCAAUGCAUGGUGGGACGUGUAGUUUACCCGUCCUUCACUUUUCUGUAGCCAAAGUGAUGGUGGCCCGCAAAUUGUGAUUCUUGGGCAAAACAUUUUUUCCCCCAAUUUUGUCAUAAGGAAAUGUAGAGGUAGGUUUUUAAAAAAGGAUAUUUAGUCAGAACUUUUUCUGUGUUUUACGAAGAAAAAAAAUAAAAAGCGUGUAUGUAUGUAAAAAUAAAAAGGGAGAAAGUGAAGUUUAUUCCUUCGUUGAGGGUGCAACAGAAAAAUAGCAGAGCAUUAAACAAUAGCAUUUCAGUGUUGGAAAGUGAGAGGUGUUCAUCUCUUUAAUACAUGGACAGCACACUAAAUGUCGGAUGGUUAUUUAUUAAAUAAGUUUUUUUCCCCCUGAAUACAAAAGUAAUAAAUAGCCGAUUGUGGUGGUGCAUGACUGUAAUCUAAGGAGUUUGGGAGGCUGAGGGAGGAGGAUGGCAAGAUGGAGGACAGCCUCAGCAACUUAGACCCUGUUUCAAAAUAAAAAGGGCUGGGGAUGUGGCUCAGUGAUUAAGUGCCCUUGGGUUCAAUCCCCUAUACCAAAAAAAAAAAAAAAAAGUUAAAUAUUUAUUGUGGUGAAAUUUAGAAAAUUAUAGAAAAGCACAAAGAAGAAAAAAAAUCACGUAUUUUUACCCAUCAGUUGUAUCUUAAUAUUUUGGGUAUAUUGCUAUAGUCAUUUAUUUCCCCAAAUCUGGGUCCUAUUGUUUAUUCAAUCUGGUGUAUUUAUUUUGUGAACCUUAUGCAUUUGUUUUGUAAAUUUCGUGUGUUAGAGGGUUAAUGAGCUUUCAACUUAUGUUUGUUUUAGCUGGAAAUAUGAAAAAAGUGCAGAAAUAACUAGUACUUUUUAUUGUUUUCACAUAUCUUUUUGUGUGACUGUGCUGGUAGUUUCCUUAUAAAAGAUAAAACUCUAAAAAUAAUUUUUGAUAGUUGUAUUUCUAUUUUUUUUUAAAAAAUACCUUUAUUUAUUUAUUUUUAUGUGGUGCUGAGGAUCAAACCCAGGGCCUUGCACAUGCUAGGGGAGCGCUCUACCGCUGAGCCACAACCCCAGCCCCGCUAUUUUGCCUUCUACUUCAUGGUUAUCUCACAGUGUCUGUUAAUAAAAGAAAUAUGGGCUGGGUUGGCAGUGCAUGACUCCGGAGGCUGAGAUAGGACGACUACAAGUUCGAGGCCAGCUUGGGUAACUGAGCAAGACCCUGUUUCAAAAAGAAGGUAAAUUUUAAUUGUAACUAGGCAGAUCCCUAAUUAUGUUGAUUCAUUUUAAGUCUCUAGAAAAAAAAUAUGGGCAGAGGGUGUACCAGGGAAUGGACCCAGGUGCACUUUACACUUAGGUACUUCUCCAGACUGCCCUCCCACAACCUUUUUUUUUUGUGUGUGUGUGUGAGACAAGGUCUCCCUACAUUUUGGAGGCUGGCCUUGAACUUGUGAUCCUCCUGCCUAAACCUCCAGAGUUGCUGGGAUUACAGAUGUUUGCCCAACCUGUAUUUGUAUUAAGUUUGUAGUUGUAUCAGAAUCUCUAAGAGGUAGGGUGCAGUUUGAAAAAGUGUAUUCAGCAAACUUACUAUUUGUAUGUAUGUAUGUAUUUAUUUAUUUUUGUUCUGGGGAUUGAACCCAUGACCAUUCACAUGUUGGGCAGAUGCUCUAUCACUGAGCUUCAUUCUCAGAUUGUUUUGUUUUGUUUUGGUUCAGGGUCUUUCCUGGGUUGCAUAGGCUGGCCUUGAAUUUAUAAUCCUGCUUUAGCCUCCUGAGCUGCUAGGUUUGCAGGAGUGUGCCAUCAUGCCUGGUCUUUUUCUUUUCUUUUUUUUCCAGUAGUGAGAAUUGAACCCAAGUGAGAAUUGAACCGAGCUACAUUCCCUAUUCUUUCUUUUUUUUUUUUAGUAUUCCAUUUUUUUUGGAUAUGUCAUCAUUUAAAAAAUUGAUCCUUAAUUAUGAGAAAUAGGUCAUUUAUAGUUUGUUUCCUCUGGUAUCAUUCUUGUAUAUGUAUGUAUACAUGUAUAUGUGUAUUUGUGUGAAUGGAAUAGUUAGGAUAAAGAUUACUUUAGCUGGCAGGGUGUCACAUGUCUGUAAUCCUAGCUAUUUGAGAGAUUGAAGCAGGGAGAUCGCAAAUUUUAAGGCCAGUCUGGGCAAUUAGCAAGACCUUAUCUCACAAUAAAAUUUAAAAAGAGUGGGGAUGUAGGUCAGUGGUAGAGUGCUUGCCUAGGAGGCCCUGGGUUUGAUUCCCAGUGGAGGGCCAGUAAUGUACACUUGAACUUGAAAUAUGUCUUUACAUAUCUUUAAAACUUUGUGCCUUGGGACUGGGGAGGUGGCUCAAGCAGUAACGCGCUUGCCUGGCAUGCGUGGGGCACUGGGUUCUAUCCUCAGCACCACAUAAAAAUAAAUUAAAGAUGUUUGUGUCCACCGAAAACUAAAACUAAAACAAAAACAAAAAACCCCCAACUUUGUGCCAAUUUGUACACCGCCCCCCCCACCGCCGCCCUGUUUGUUGUUGUUGUUGUUGUUGUUUUUUGGUGGUACUGGAGAGUGAACCUAGGGGCACUUUAUCACUGUGCUAUAUCCCCAAUUCUUUUAGAAAUUUAUUUUGAGAUAAGGUCUUGUUAAGUUGUUGAGGCUGGCCUUGAACUUGAGGUUCUUCUGCCCCAGCCUCUCAAGUCACUGGAGUUACUGGGAUUAUAGGUAUCUUCCAAAAAUUUGAAAUUUCCUUUUUCUUCUCCAGUUUUUCCUGUAGUCCAAAGAGUAUCUAUCUUAUUCUUGGCAUUUUCAUACAGUAACAAAGCAGUUUUUCAAUUGUUUUGUUCAGUAAAACUUGAUGGAAACUUGAUCUGCUAUCAGAUGUGGUGACCACUAGUCAUAUGUGUUCCUUGAGCACCUAAAAUGUGGCCAGUGUGACUAAAGAAUUGUAUUUUAAAUUUUACUUAAUUUUAAUUAUGUAAAGUUCAUGCAGCCACAUUUGUCUGUGAUACAGAUGUAAAGUAACUUCCUAUGCUAACUAUUUGUAUUUUUUAUUUUUUUCCAGUAAACUUGUGUGUUAAGAUCACUUGUCUCUCUUCCCACCUUCACUCCCUAUCCUGGUCUUUUUCCCACUAAUUUGUUUGUUUGUUUCUUUUUUCUUUUCUUUCUUUCUUUUUUUUUUUUUUUAGUACUGAGGAUUGCACUUCAGGUCCAUGUCCCCAGUCCUUUUUAUUUUUUAUUUUUUUAUUUUUAUUUUUUUAUAUUUAUUUAUUUUUUAGUUUUCGGCAGACACAACAUCUUUGUUUGUAUGUGGUGCUGAGGAUCGAACCCGGGCGGCACGCAUGCCAGGCGAGCGCCCUACCGCUUGAGCCAUAUCCCCAGCCCUUUAUUUUUUAUUUUGAGACGGGGUCUUGCUAAGUUGCUCAGGGCCUUGCUAAAAAGUCUUUGUGAAUAAAAGUAACUAGCCUUUUGUCAUGUGUGUUGCAGAUUGAUUUCCUUGUUUUGCCUUUUGCCUUGAUUUAUGGAGUUGUGUUUUUCUUUUGCUGCCCCUACAUUUUUUGUUUGUUUGCUUUUUUAGUAUUGGAAUCAAACCUAUGGACGCUUCACCACUGAAUUAUGUCCCAACCCUUUUUAUUUUUUAUUUUUGGGUACCAGGGAUUGAACUCAGGGGCACUCAAGCACUGAGCCACAUCCCCAGCCCUAUUUUGUAUUUUAUUCAAGAGACAGGGUCUCAAUGAGUUGCUUAGUGUUUCUGUUGCUGAGGCUUGCUUUGAACUCGCGAUCUUCCUGCCUCAGCCUCCUGAGCUGCUGGGAUUACAGGUGUGCUCCACCGAGCCUGGCCAGCCCUUCUUAUUUUGAGACAGGUUCUCACUAAGUUGUUUAGUUACCUCAUUAAUUUGCUGAGGCUGGCCUUGAAUUUAUUAUUAUCCUGGCUUAACCUCCUGAGUUAGGCUGGCACCAUGGCUCUGGCUUGCCCAAGCAUUUUUAAUGUUAAUAUAAACAAAUUGAUCAAUAUUUACCUUUUAUUCUUUUUUUAUUUUAGGUCCUGUUAAGAAAGGUUUCUCCCACUCAAAGUUCUAACCUAAGUGGAUUUUGGGAAAUGUCCAUGAUAAUUCUUCUGACUGCCUGACAGUACUGAAAUUGAUUUGUAUUGAAUUCACAUGAACUUGGUCUUGGGCAUCAGAGGGCACUGUAUGACUUUUUCUUUCUUUUUGUGUACUGCUGGGGAUUGAAUCCAGUGGUACACUACUACUGAGCUGUAUCCAAAGCCCAUUUUAUCUUAUUUAUUUAUUUAAUUAUUUAAAAAAUAUUUUUAGUUGUAUGUGGACAUAAUACCUUUAUUUAUUUUUAUGUGAUGCUGAAGAUAGAACCCAGUGUCUCACAUAUGCUAGGCAAGCACUUCUACCACGGAGUCACAACUCCAGCCGCUUUAUUUUUAUUUAUUUAUUUAAAAUAUUUUUUUAGUUGGCAGUGGGCCUUUUAUUCUUAUUUAUUUAUAUUUGGUGCUGAGAAUCAAACCCAGUGCCUUACACAUGCUAGGCAAGUGCUCUGGCACUGAGCUAUAAUCGUAGCUCACAUAUUAUUUUAUUUAUUUUUAAAAUUUGUUCAUUCAUUUAUUUAUUUAUUUACUUAUUUAUUUACUUAUUUGUUAAUUAUGUGGUGCUGAGGAUUGAACCCAGCGUCUUGCACAUACUAAGCAGGCAGUCUACCACUUAGCCACAACCCCAGCCCACCCCAUUUUAUUUUUUGGGAUAGGUUCUCACUAACUUGUCCAGGCUGACUUUGAAUUUUGAUCUUACUGCCUCAGUCUCCCAAGUAGAUGGGAUUAUAGGCAUGUGCCACCACACCUGGCUAAGACUUAUUAAUUUUAGUGUUUUCUUAGUUGAUCCAUAUUUUGGCAAAAGUUACGUUAUGAAAGACAUUUCAUGUGAAAAUUCCUUGGCCUCUGACAGUAGUAGCUGAUAUUACAUUUAGAACAGCUUUCAUUGGAGUUUACCAUUUGGGAUGGCCCCUAUCAUCUUGAAUCUUUAGUUCAUUGAUAUUUGAAUUAUUUAAUACAUGGGUUAGCUAUAUUCAAUUUCAAAUAAAGGGUUCAAGAGGCUGGGUAUAGUGGUGCACGCCUGUAAUCCCAGCCGCUUGGAAGGUGUGACAAGAGGAUCCAAAGUUCAAAGCCAGCCUCAGUAAUUUAUCAAGGCCCCCAGCAACUUAGUGAGACCCUGUAUCAAAAUAAAAACUAAAAAGGGCUGGAUAUCUGGCUCUGUGCUUAAGUGCCCCUGGGUUUAGUCCCUGGUACUGAAAUAAAUAAAAUGUUCAACGGUGUUAAUGACAUUUCUUUUAAAAAUAUUGUUAGUUAUAGAUGGACAUAAUACCUUUAUUAUUUAUUUAUAUGUGGUGCAGAGGAUUGAACCUAGUGCCCCACACGUGCUAGGCAAGUGCUAUACUACUGGGCUACAACCCAGGCCUUAAUGACAUUUCUAAAUAGUAACACAACAUUUAAAAAUAUGUUGCUAUUGGGACUGGGGCUGUAGCUAAGUGGCAGAGUGGUUGCCUAGUAUGUGUGAGGCACUGGGUUUGAUCCUUAGCCCUGCAUAAAAAUAAACAAAUAAAAUAAAGGCAUGCUGUCCAUACACAACUAUCAAAAAAUUAAAAAAAAAAUAUAUAUAUAUAUAUAUAUUGCUAUUUGACAGAAUAAUGAUUAAUUUCAUAUUUGACUUGAGAGGUUCUGCCAAAUUUUCUAAGUUUAUUUACUUAUUUUGGUACUAGGGAUUGAACCCAAGGAUGCUUAAACACUGAGUGACAUCCCCAACCCUUUAUUCUCUUUAAUUGCUUAGGGGCUUGCUAAGUUGCUGAGGCUGGCUUUGAAAUCACUAUCUUCCUGCCUCAGCCUCCUGAGCCUCUGGAGUCACAGGUGUGUGCCGCUGUGCCUGGCCUUUCUAAGUUUAAUUUGGAUAUAUCCAUGAAAUAUAUUAAGGUGUUGUAUGUUAUGAAGAUUUUUCCUUUCAAGUACAUUUGUGUAUUUUUCUAUGAUAUGGAUGAACUACAAGAUAUAUAGAAAGUAAUAUAUAUAAAUUUUUUUUGGUACAAGAGGUUGAAUCCAGGGGCACUUUACCACUGAGCUAUAUAUUCCUAGCUCUCUUUAUUUUUUUAUUUUGAGACGGGGUCUUGCUAAGUUGCUUAGAGCUUUGCUAAGUUGCUAAGGAUGACCAUGAAUCUGAAAUCCUGCCUCAACCUCCUGAGUCACUAGGAUUACAGACAUGAGCCAUAGUGCACCGCUGAUGUUUUUGUUAAAUUAAGAAAAUGCAANCACUGAGCCACAUUCCCAGCUCUAUUUCGUAUUUCAUUUAGAGACGUGGUCUCACUGAGUUGCUUAAUGCCUCACUUUUGCUGAGGCUGGCUUUGAACUCACCAUCCUCCUGUGUCAACCUCCCCAGCUUCUGGUAUUACAGGUGUGUGCCACCAUGCCUGGCAAAAGGGACAAUUUUUAAAUAGCAAUUUGUGAAUAGCCUUAACAAUAGAUUACCCUAUAUAGGAAAACUACAUAAUUAUUAGCUGGUUAUUAACAUGAAUUUUGAAUCAUACAAAUCUGGAUUUGAUGUUGCCUUUACUAUUUGUUGUGUCAUCUUGCACAAGUUGUUUAAAUGAGUGUACAAACAUUAAUGUGUAAGAAUCUCUAGGGGCACUGGGGUUGUGGCUCAGUGGUAGAACGCUUGCCUAGCAUAUAUAAGGCACAGGGUUCGAGUCUCAGUACCACAAAUAAAUAAAUAAAAUAAGUAAACUUAAAAAAACAAAAAGAAUCAUCAGGGGAUCUUGUUAUACAGCUCUAGAUUCAUUUGGUUUGUGAUGUGGCCAGAGAUUCUGUACCUUUUUGUGUGUUUGUGUGAUGGGAUGUUGCUAUGUUGCCCAGGCUGGCCUUGAACUCGUGAUCUUCCUGCCUCAGGAUCUUCUUGCCUCAGCCUCCUGAUUUGCUGGGAUUACAGGCAUGUGCCACCACACCUCACUGAGAUUCUGCAUUUCUAACAAGUUCCCAGGUGAUGUUGGUGCUGCAGUCCAAGGACCUGGAGUUGUAAGGCUUUUUUUUUUUUUUUUUUUUUUAAUUUUUUUUUNNNNNNNNNNNNNNNNNNNNNNNNNNNNNNNNNNNNNNNNNNNNNNNNNNNNNNNNNNNNNNNNNNNNNNNNNNNNNNNNNNNNNNNNNNNNNNNNNNNNNNNNNNNNNNNNNNNNNNNNNNNNNNNNNNNNNNNNNNNNNNNNNNNNNNNNNNNNNNNNNNNNNNNNNNNNNNNNNNNNNNNNNNNNNNNNNNNNNNNNNNNNNNNNNNNNNNNNNNNNNNNNNNNNNNNNNNNNNNNNNNNNNNNNNNNNNNNNNNNNNNNNNNNNNNNNNNNNNNNNNNNNNNNNNNNNNNNNNNNNNNNNNNNNNNNNNNNNNNNNNNNNNNNNNNNNNNNNNNNNNNNNNNNNNNNNNNNNNNNNNNNNNNNNNNNNNNNNNNNNNNNNNNNNNNNNNNNNNNNNNNNNNNNNNNNNNNNNNNNNNNNNNNNNNNNNNNNNNNNNNNNNNNNNNNNNNNNNNNNNNNNNNNNNNNNNNNNNNNNNNNNNNNNNNNNNNNNNNNNNNNNNNNNNNNNNNNNNNNNNNNNNNNNNNNNNNNNNNNNNNNNNNNNNNNNNNNNNNNNNNNNNNNNNNNNNNNNNNNNNNNNNNNNNNNNNNNNNNNNNNNNNNNNNNNNNNNNNNNNNNNNNNNNNNNNNNNNNNNNNNNNNNNNNNNNNNNNNNNNNNNNNNNNNNNNNNNNNNNNNNNNNNNNNNNNNNNNNNNNNNNNNNNNNNNNNNNNNNNNNNNNNNNNNNNNNNNNNNNNNNNNNNNNNNNNNNNNNNNNNNNNNNNNNNNNNNNNNNNNNNNNNNNNNNNNNNNNNNNNNNNNNNNNNNNNNNNNNNNNNNNNNNNNNNNNNNNNNNNNNNNNNNNNNNNNNUUUUUUUUUUUUUUUUUUUUUUUUAAUAUUUUUCUAGUUGUUGAUAGACCUUUAUUUUAUUUAUUUAUAUGCAGUGCUGAGAAUCAACUCAAUUCCUCACACAUGCCAGGCAAAUGCACUACCACUGAGCCCUAGCCCCAGCCCUAGCCCUGGCUUUAACACUGCCAAAGCUUUCAUCAUUUUCCUAAAUUGAAAUGAUAAUGAUAGUAAAACCUACUAUUUUGGGUAUUAAGUGAUGAAGUGAAAGUAUGAAGUUUUAUUUAUUUUUGUAUAAUGCCUGGUAUGUUAUAAGCAUUGUUUGUUAAUAUUUCUGAAAAGUUAAUAAAUAUGUAUCAUUUUUUGUUUCUGAAUGGGAAAAGUAGAUAUUGUAAAGAUGUUAUAUCUUAGCAAAUAAGUGCAGAGAUAUGAGACAGUUGUAAUCAUAAGCCUUUUAACCUCUGGCACACCUCGUUGGCUGUGACUUUCCAGGGUCAUUGUGGGAUCAGAGACUUAAGUGAGCUAUGAACAAGCGAGGGAACUCAGGAAAGAUCCCUCUUCUGCUUUAUACUUCAUUUGCAGGUGUGUCUACCCUAAAUCUAACCCUGUUUUGCCACGUAUCUUCACAUGCUUGGUCUUCCCCCAUGUUAGUAGGGACUCUUAUGUGUGAGUCCAACUGUAUUUUCUUAUUUAUUUGUUUUUGGCCAUGUGUAACAAUAAUAUAAUUUUCAUCUUCUGCUUGUUUUUCUUUUGUGUGAACUGCAAAUUCCCUUUACCAUCCGUUUAUGUUUAUUGAAUACUUAAUGCUUAUUCUGUGCUGUGUGGGAGCCUAUGAGAAACAAUGAACAUAUUGUUCUUGACCUCUUAAGAGUUUGCUAUUUAGUAAGAAGUGGACUAAUAAUUUAGGCAAAAUGUAAUGCAUAUAUGUUUUAUGUUUUGAUUUCUGCCAAAAAUAUUGUUUUCUGUUAUACCUUUAUUUGGUUAUUGAUAUUUAUGAAAGUGUAUUUAAAAAUGUAUUAGUCUUUUUUUUUUUCUGUGUGUGUGGGGGGGGCUGGGGAUUGAGCCCGGGACCUUUUGCAUGUGAGGCAGGCACUCUACCGAGCUAUAUCCCCAGCCCUGUAUUAGUCUUUCGAGAUUAUAGUUUUGGUUGGCAGAAUUUUAAAAUGGUCCCAAGAUUCCAUCCAUAUAUUCCCCUCCGAGUGGAUGGGGAUAAUGAAUAUAAUGGGAUAUAAGUCUUAAUAUUUGGUUAUAUUAUACAGAAAAGAUGAAGGGAUUUUUUUGGGGGGGCAGGGAUUGAAUUUAGAGACACUUAAUCACUGAGCCAUAUCCCCAGCCCUUUUUGUAUCUUAUUUAGUAGUGCCACCUGCUGAUCUGUGCCUAGCAUCCCAAGCACUGAGUUGCUUAGAGCCUCACCAAAUUACCGAGGCUUGCUUUGAACUCACUAUCCUCCUGCCUCAGCCUCCCAAGCUGCUGGGAGUACAGGUGUGUGCAACCAUGCCUGGCUAAGAUGAAGAGAUUUUCUAGGGGUAAUUAUGUUUGACUUUGAUUUGGUGAGCCUAACCCAAUCAGGCAAGCCCUUUCAACAGGAUCUAGAAGUCGGUACAAGAGAAAUUUUGAAGCAGUAGAGGUUUUCUUGCUGGUUUUGAAAAGAAACAAACAGCCCUAUUGUGUGCUGCCAGUGGAGAAGGGCCCUGUAGCAAUGUACACAGGCAACCUUUAGGAGCUGAGUGAGCCAGCAAGAGAAGAGAGCCUGAGUCCUACAACAGAAAGGGACUGAAAUCUGCUGAUAACUAGUAAUAACCAAGGAUCAGAUGAGGUCACAGCCUUAGCUGGUGCUUCCGUUUCUACCUAAUGAGAUUCUAAGCAGAGGACCAGCUAAUCUGUACCCAGCAUCCCAACACAUAGAAAUUGUGAGAUAUUUGAAUCUAAGAUUAGAUAAUAAGACUUAAAGUCAUGGAUAUAUUUUCUGUUGAAGCUGCAUAAUAAUGAACCAACAGUAAAAAAAAAAAAAAAAAAAAAAUUGAAGGGAUAAGGGAGCAGGGUUGGACUUAGAGAAGGUGUUCAAGAUGAUAGAUGCUGACAUUUGUGGGUGAAUAAUAGAUAAGGUCCUUCCAGACAGGGAAGAGCUGAAAAGAAGGUACACUGAAAUGCAGGGUGUGUUUAAUGCACAGUGAAUUUACGUUUGAGGAUUGUGAAGUGUAGUGGAAGAUUAAGCCAGAAAAGGUAUGUUAGGGCCAAAAUGUGGAGGGUUGUGGAAAGUUGAGCUGACUAGUGUUUUUAUUCUAGGAGUAAUGGUUUUAUGGAGGAGGUAAUAUCAUAUCUGUUUUAAACAGAUUGAGUGCUGUAUAGUGUGAGGGAGUAUAUAUUACUUUUCCUGCUCUUCAAAUUUUUCUCAUUUUUGAGUUUUUUUAAAAAAGUUUUAGUUGUGGAUAGACGCACAGUAGCUUUAUUUUAUUUAUUUAUGUAGUGCUGAGGAUUGAACCCCGUGCCUCACACAUGUGAGGCAAGCACUGUACCACUGAGCUAUAAUCCCAGCCUCAAAUUUUUCUCAUUUUUUAAAACUGCUUUACCUUUAUUUACUCAGACUUGUCCAACAGAUUUUUUCUCUCCAAUACUGGGAUUGAACCCAGGGGUGUUCUACCAAUGAGCUACAUUCCCAGCCCUUUUUUAUUUUGAGACAGGGUCUUGCUAAGUUGGUGAGGCUCACCUUGCAUCUCAAUCCUCCUGCUUCAGCCUUCCGAUUCUCUAGGAUUACUGGAGUGUUCCACUGUACCCAGCCUUUUAUGUUCUGCCAGUCUCUUGAUGUUUUUGCAUAUACAAGAGAGUCUUCAGUGCUCUUUAACACAAUAAGAUUCUACCUUUUUUUUUUUUUUAAGGAGACAUACGUUUGGAUAUAUUUUUUUGCAUUGGGGAGAGUGAAUCUAGGGGUGCUUAAUCAUUGAGCUACAUCCCCAGCUCUUUUUUGUAUUUUAUUAGAGACAGGUUCUCACUGAAUUCCUUAGGCCCUUUCUACUUUCCUGAGGCUGGCUUUGAACUCAGGAUCCUCCUGCCUCAGCCUCCCAAGCUGCUGGGAUUAUAGACAUGGGCCACUGUGCCUGGCUCAAAUCCUACCAUUCUUUCUUUCUUUAAUUGUAGAUGGAUACAGUAUCUUUUUAUGUCUUUAUUUUUAUGUGGAGAUGAGGAUCAAACCAGUGCCUCCCACACUCCACCACUGAAUGCCCUAGCUCCAAAUCCUGCCAUUCUUUUUUUUUUUAGUUGUAGUUGGUGUAUAUUGAACCCAGGGUCUCCUACGUGUGAGGGGCUCUACGGCUGAGCCACAACCCCAGCCCAAAUCCUACCAUUCUUAAAGGAAAAACAAAACUCUUUUCCCCAUUUACUCUAGCUCAUGUUGGAUGUUCUUUUUUUUCUGAAUUUCUGCAACACUGUUCAUUUCAUACAUACCAUUGCCAUGUAUAUAUCUCUUGUCUUUAGGUUCAGCUGGUAGAACCAUCAAGGCAGUGUGUUGUACAGCUGUCUUCUGUUUAAAUACUAUGUCUUGGGAUUGUAUACGAUACUGCCUUUGGAAAUCAUGAUACCAUUUGUGAAAACACCAUUAAAUAGUGAUAUAUUUAUUUUUGACAAAAAUUAAGGACAUUUUUGCUAGGAGAAAAACCUGUUAUGAGUUUGUGAUAUAAAAUUGUACUUGGAGGCUGGGCAUGGUGGCACAUACCUGUAAUCCCAGCAGCCCAGGAGGCUGAGGCAGGAGGAUCAUAAGUUCAAAGCCAGCCUCAGCAACAGCGAGGUGCUAAGCAACUCCAUGAGACCUUGUCUCUAAAUAAAUACAAAAUAGGGCUGGGGAUGUGGCUCAGUGGUUGAAUGCCCCUGAGUUCAGUCCCUGGUACCACCCCCGCCCCCCCCCCCCGCAAAAAAAAAAAUUGUACUUGGAGAAUAGAUGUGGGAGGUAAGAAGGAAAACUUUUUCAGUCUUUUAUUUACUAUUGGAUUGCUUUGUGUAUAUUUUCCAGGUCUAUUUUCUAGCAGACAGGUGGCAACGUGACAAAGGUUUAAUGAAAUUGUUUCUCAAACUAAAUUUCCCAUGAAUCUCUUACCAGGAAUUUAUGGGGUUACUUGGGGUUUUAAGUGAAAAUAUUUUAGUUUUGUGUUUUAAUGUUAAUCUUAAAAGUUGAGUAUAUUUGUUACUUGACAUGCGAUUUUGGUGUCAUUUUGCUGUCUGUAUUAAUUGGAGUAUUUUCACAAAGGGAGGUUCAUAGCUAUUAUCAUGGUAUAUCAAUGUAAUGAAGUUUUCACCAUAGCUUAGAUAAGAAAACAUGUUUUGCAUAUUCAAGACAUCUCAAAAGGUCUUGUGUUGUAGCAGCCAAGACCAUGGUGAUGCUGGGUAUGUUGGCACAUCCUGUAAUCCAUGCUACUUAGGAGGCUGAUGCAGGAGAAUUGCAAGUACCAGGCCAUCCUUGGCAACUUAGUGAGAGCCUGUCUCAAAAUUUAAAAAGGACUGGUGUCUGUGUCCCUGGUUUCAUUUCCCCAGGAUGGGGAGUGUUGUGGGAGGUGUGAGAGGAAAGACCAUGGUGAUAUAGUUAACAGCAAAAGUAGCAUUAUUUUAAUUUUUACUUAAAGUUGAAAUUUGUUUUAUAUUUGGGUUUAAUUUAUAAAUUUGUUUUAUUUUUAUAACUAUGUAAGAAUAAGCAAGGUGUAUACCUGCAUAUUAUUGGUGUAUAUGUAAGCAUUAUAAUGUAAAUCAAUGUGUGAAUGGGGUUGAGCUCUGAGAUUAUUUUUUCUUGUAAAUAUUACUGAAAUUUAAGAUAUACUAAAUAUGUUCUGUGAUUUGGUAAUGAUUAAAUUAACAUAUGUUCAAAGCAAUCUUAGCAAAUUUAAAAUUUGUUCAUCUGGGCUGGGGUUGUGGCUCAAUGGUAGAAUGCUCGCCUAGCAUGCACGAGGCACUGGGUUUGAUCCUCAGCACCACAUAAAUGUAAAAUAAAGAUAUUGUAUCUACCUAAAACUAAAAAAUAAAUAUUAAAAUAAAUAAAUAAAUAAAAUUUGUUCAUCCUUCUGUAUUUUAUUUUCCUUUCUUAGCAAAAACGUAAAAACCUCUGUGUUUUUAAGGUCAUCUGCCUCUAAAAACCUUAUUAAAUUUUGAAAUCCAUUUCUCCUUUCCCGUUUCCAGUUCCAGUUAGAUUUUUUUUCUUUUUUUUUUAAUUAGGGAUUGAACUCAGAAGUACUCAACCACUGAGCCACAUCUUAAGUCCUGUUUUGUAUUUUAUUUAGAGAUAGGGUCUCACUGAGUUGCUUAAUGCCUUGCUUUUGCUGAGGCUGGCUUUGAACUCAUGAUCCUCCUGCCUCAGCCUCCCAAGAUGCUGGGAUUACAGGUAUGCACCACCAUGCCUGGCCAUGAUAUAUAGCCCUUUCUCUCUAGUUUCUUGGGCAUUUCUGUCAUGAGUGGUGCUGAUUUUUUUUUUUUUUAAAUAUUCUUUUAAUUGUAGAUGAACACAAUACCUAUUUAUCUUUUUUUUUUUUUGGUACUGGGGACUGAACUCAGGGGCACUUGGCCCCUGAGCCACAUCCCCGGCCCUAUUUAGUAUUUUAUUUAGAGACAGGGUCUCAUGGAGUUGCUUAGCACCUCACAAUUGCUGAGCCUGGCUUUGAACUCGUGAUUCUCUUGUCUCAGCCUCCCGAGCUGCAGGGAUUACAGGCAUGCAUCACCAUACCCGGCUUCCUUUAUUUUUUAUUUAUUUAUUUUUAUGUGGUGCUGAGGAUUGAACCCAGUGCUUCACAUGUGAGGCAAACGCUGUGCUAUUGAGCCACAGUCCCAGCCCAUGGUGCAGAUUUAAAAAAAAAAAAUUAUUUAUUUUUGAUAUUGGGGAUUGAACCAAGGGGCAGCCUUCCACUGAGCGCUAUGCUUUUUUUUUUUAAUGCAUUUAUUUAUUUUUAUAUGGCGCUGAGGGUUGAACACUGCCAGUGCCUCACGUGCGGGGCAAGCACUCUAUCAUUGAGCUACAGUUUCAGCCCAAACCCUAUGCUUUUUUAUUUUUUUAUUUUGAGACAGAAUCUUGCUAAGUUGCCCAAGCUGGUUGAACUUGUGAUCCUCCUCCUGCCUUAGCCUUCCAAGUUGCUGGGAAUACAGGUGUGUACUACCACGCCCAGCAUGGGUGCUGAAUUUUUAAAAAAUAUUUAUUUUUUAGUUGUAGUUGGACACAAUACCUUUAUUUAUUAAAAAAUUUAGUUGUUGAUGGGCCCUUUUUUUUUUUUUUUUUUUAGAAUUUAUUUAUAUGUGGUGCUGAGAAUCAAAUGCAGUGCCUCACACGUGCUAGGCCAGUGCUCUGCCACUGAGCCACAACCCCAGCCCUAUUUAUUUAUUUUUAUGUGGUGCUGAGGAUUGAACCCAGGGCCUCACAUGUGCUAGGCGAGCUCUCUACUGCUGAGCCACAACCCCAGCCCAGGUGCUGAUUUUUGUUGAAGGCUUUCUCUACAUCUUUUGAGAUGACUGUGUGAUUUUUGUCCUUAAUUCUAUUUGUGUGAAUUAACAUUUAUUGAUUUGUGUAUGUUAAAGAAUCCUUGCAACCUUGAAUGAGACCAACUGGUCAUGAUGUACAGUCUUCUUAAUACGUUGUUGAAUAUGAUUUGUUAAUAUUUUUCUAAGGAUUUUUGCUAAAAAUUUUUAAAUUUUUAAAUCCCUCCCUUUGAUUUAUCAGGGAUAUUCAUUUGUAGUUUUCUUUCCUUGUUGUGUCCUCUGGUUUUGGUAUCAGGGUGAUACUGGCUUUAUAAAAUGAGUUUGGAAGUGUUCUACCCCUUUCAAUUUCAUGGAAUAAUUUGAGGAGCACUGGUAUUGGCUCUUCUUUAAGGAUGUGGUAGGAAUCUGCUGAGAAUACAUUUGCUUUUUCCUUGUUGGAAGAGUUUAUUAGCACUUCUAUUUCAUUGCUUCUUAUUGGUCUGUUUAGGUUUUCUGUGUUCUCUGGAUUCAAUUUUGGCAGGUCAUAUGUGUCUAGAAACAUAUCCAUUUCUUCUAGGCUUUCCAAUUUAUUGGAGUAUAAGUUUUCAUAAUAGCCUGAAUGAUCCUCUGGAUCAAAGUCUUGUGGAUUUCUGAGAUGUUUGUGGUGAUUUUUCUUUAUCUCUAAUUGUAUUAAUUAUUAAUAUGGGUCUUCUUUUUCUUUUGGUUAGUUUGGCUAAGGACUUGUUUAUCUUUUCAAAGAACAACACUUUAUUUCAUUGAUCCUUUGUAGUUUUUUAUUCUCUAUUUCAUAGAUUUCAGCUAUUAUAUUAACGAUUUCCUUUACUGGUUUUGGAAUUUUUUUUUUGGAAUUGGUAUUUUUCAAGGGCCAUUAGAUGCAUCAUUAUAUAGUUUUUUUGGGGAUCUUAUUUUCUUAUGUAGGCCAACUAUAAACUUUCCUUUUAGAAACACCAUCAUAAUGUUCCAGAGGUUCCAGUGUGUUACAUCACUAUUUUGGCUUGAUACUAAAAAUUUUUAAAUCCCUCCCCUUGAUUUCUUCUAUCACCCAUUCAUCAUUCAGACAUAUUUUAUUCAAUUCAUGUGUUUGUAUAAUUUCUGUAGUUUAUUUUGCUGUUGGUUUCUAAUUUUUUUAAUUCCUAAUUUCAUUCUCUUUUGAUCAGAUAAGAUGCAAGGAAUUAUAUGAUUCUUUCUUUCUUUUUUAAAAAUUUGCUAAGAGUUGUAUCGUGGCCUAAAUUUUGGUCUGUUUUGGAAAUGGUUCCAUGAGCAGCCAAGAAGAAUAUAUAUUUGGCUGUUUGCAUGAAAUAUUCUAUAGAUAUGUGUUAAGUUCAUUUGCUUCAUCAUACUUUUUAGGUCUGCAGAGUCUUUACCGAGUCGAUGUCUACGUGACUUAUCUAUUGGUGAGAGGCAAGUUGAAAUCACCCAGUAUACUCAUGUUUGAGUCAUAAAUAUUUGUUAUUGUUAUAUCUUUUUGUAGGAUUUUUUCCUUAACCAGUACAAAGUGGCCUUUUUUUUUUUUUGUCUUUUCUGAUUAAUUUUGAGUUGAAGUCUGCUUUGUCAGAUACUCCUGCUUGUUUUCAGGCUCUCUUUGCAUGGUAUAUCAAUUUUUAUCCUUUCACUUUCAGCCUUUUGCUAUCUUUGCCUAUGAGUCUCUUGCAAACAACCUAUAGUUCGGACUUGUUUUCCAAUCUAUUCUAUGUGCUGCCUAUGUUUUUUAAUUUGAGAGUUAGAACCAAUUUGAUAUAUGCAGCAGUUAUCCUUCAAAAUCAUAGUAGAAAUAAAAACCUUCCAUGAUAAAUAGAAAAAUUUUCAGGGAAAAGCCUGAAAGAAUUAGGAAUUUAUUACAAGAUAUGAAUGACAGAUUCAACAAGGAGAUAGCAAUAUUGUAGAAGAACCAAACAGAAAUUUUGGAAAUGAAAGGUAAAUAAAAUGUUUAGUUUUUUGUCUAUACAGAAGACAGAAUCUCAGAGCUGGAAGACAAAGUGGCUUGACCUUGAACAGUCAGACACUAUUUAAAAAAAAAAAAAGUAACCAUGACCAGAAUAUGCAAGAACCCUGGAACAAUAUUAAGAGAUAAAAUUUAAGAACCAGUGGAAUCAAAGAGGGUUGAAAUGUGGGAUAAUGGCAUGGGUAACCUCUUCAGGGAAAUAAUAAUGGAAGAGUUUCCAAAUAUUGGGAAUUAAGUGGACAUCCAGAUACAGGAAGCAUUGAAAACUCCAAAUAGACAGAAUCCAAAAGAAACUCUCCAUGACAUAUUAAAAUUGCCUAAUAUAUAAAACAAGAAUAGAAAUUUAUUUUUUAAAAACAUUUAAAAAAUAUCUAUCUAUUUAUUUUAGUUUUAGGUGGGCACAAUAUCUUCAUUUUAUUUUUAUGUGGUGCUGAGGAUCAAACCCAGUGCCUCACGGCAUGCUAGGCGAGUGCUCUACCACUGAGCCACAACCAUAGCCCAAGAAUAGAAAUUUAAAAGCCUCAAGAGAAAAAAAAAAAAAAUCAGGUCACAUUUAGUGGGAAGCCAAUCAGAAUUACUUCUGAUUUUUCACCACAAAUUCUGAAAUCCAGAAGGGCUUGGAAUGCUGUGUUCCAAGUACUGAAAGAAAAUAACUUUUUCAGAGUAGUUAUGUAAUUUUGCAUUCCCACUACCAAUAUAUGUGAAAUUCAUUUGUGCUGUAUCUUAAUAUUUCUUUUUUUGGUCUUGUGGUUGAACCCAAUACCUCAGGCAAGUGCUAGUAGGCAAGCACCCUAUCAGUGGAUUAUAUCCCUAAUCCUUGGGUUUAUUUUCUUGCUGUUGUAUAGUUUGCUUUUUUUUUUGGGGGGGGGGUACCAGGGAUUGAACUCAGGGCCACUUGGCCACUGAGCCACAUCCUCAGCCCUAUUUUAUAUUUUAUUUACUUACUUACUUAUUUAUUUUAGUUGUAGAUGGACAUGAUACCUUCACUUUAUUUGUUUUCAUUUUUAUGUGGUGCCGGGGAUCGAACCCAGUGCCUCUCAUGCUAGGUAAGUGCUCUACCACUGAGCCAAAACCAACGUCCUUGUAUUUUAUUUAGAGACAGGGUCUCACUGAGUUGCUUAGCACCUCGCUUUUGCUGAGGCUGGCUUUGAACUCGCGAUCUUCCUGCCUCAGCCCCUGAGCCGGGAUUAUGGGCAUGUGCCACCAUGCCUGGCUUUGCUGUUGUGUUUUAAUUCUUCAUGUAUUCUAGAUAGAAGUCCUUAGUUGCAUAUGUGAUUUAUGAAUAUUUUCUUUCUGAUUUUAGGGAAUAGUUCUUCAUAAUUAAUAUUCUGACUUUUGUAGGUUUUUUUGUAAACACCUAUAAUCUGGUUGAGGAAAUUCCUUUUAGUUUAUUAUGUGUUUUGUUUUAAUUGUUUUUAGUUGUAGAUGGACAUAAUACCUCUAUUUCUUUUAUUUAUUUGUUUGUUAAUUUAUUUAUUUCUAUGUGGUGCUGAGGAUUGAACCUAGUGCCUCACAUAUACUAGGCAAGCACUCUGUCACUGAGCCACAACCCUAGCCCUGCCAUGUGUUUUUAAACUUUUGAGUUGUGAUGGAUUUUUUCCAAUGCUUUGUGAAUUGAUGGAAUCAUUUGACUUAUAUCGACUGCCAGUAUGUUGGGUGACAUCAAUUUUCAACUCAAUUAGUGUUAAAACGCCUUUGCAUUCCUGGGAAAAAAAUCUCAUUUGGUUAUAGUGCUUCAUACUUUUCACAUAGUAAAUUUUUCUGUUAUUUGUUUUUGUGGUGUUGGGGAUUGAACCCAGGGACAUUCUUCCCUGAGCUGCUGCAUCCCUUGCCCUUUUUAUUUUAUUUUGAGGCAGGGUCUUGCUAAGUUGCCCAGGCUGGGCUUGAACUUGGAAUCCUCCUGCUUCAGCCUCCUGAGUUGUUGUGAUUACAGGUGUACACCACCAUCCCUGACCUGUAAUUUUCUUUCCUUUUCCUUUUAUUCUUUUUUUACCCUAAGUACUGGGAAUCAAACUCAGGGCCUUACACAUGUUCGACAAGUACUUUAUCAGUGCACUAUCCCUUUUAAAUUUUUGAGGUCCCCCCCUCUUCCUCAAGUGCUGGGAUUGAAACUAUGGCUUCCAGCAUGCUAGGGAAAUGCUCUUACCAAUGAGUCAUCUCUCCAGCCCCCUUUUAAACUUUUGAAAUAGAGUUUUACUAAGUUGCCCAGAUUGGCCUAGAAUUGUGGUCUUCCUGUUUUCAUUUUAGAUAAUGUUGUGGCCAAAAUAUCUGAUGAGAACAACUUAGAGGAGGAAAAGUUUAUUUGGUGCUCAUGAUUUCAGAGUUUUCAGUCCUUAGAUGGCCGACUCCAUUGCUCUAGGAAUAAAUUGAGGCAACACAUCAUAGGGGAAGGGCCAGAAGAGAAAAGUUCCUCAGCUCAUGGUGGGCUCAGGAAGCAGAAAUCUAGUGAAAGGGGUAGGGGCCCCCAGGAUGAUGUACACUUCCAGGGCAUGCCUCCAGUGACCCACCUCCUCCAGCCAGGCCCCACUUGCCUAACUAUCCAGUUAGGAUGGCCCCAGGAGCUCUCAUAAUCUAAUCGCCUCACCUCUGCAUUGACAGGAGCUUUUGUCCAAACUAUAACAGUCACUAUUCCUUUUUGAAAUUAAAAAAUUUUGCAAGGGUUUUGCUAAAUUGCUUAGGGUGUUGCUAAGUUGCUAAGGCUGGCUUUGAACUUGCGAUCCUCCUGCCUCAGCCUUCUGAACUGCUGGGAUAUGGGUGUGCCACAGUACCUGGCUUAAGUACCUUUUUUUUUUUUUUUUAAAGUAGUACAGGGAGAUAGAGUUUGUAGUGCUUGAUAUUAAAAUGUAUUGCAGAGAUACAGUAAAUAAAGCAGCAUAGCAUGGUACUGAUGUGAGAAUGGAAAAGGCUCACUAGACUAGGUUUUAAAGUCAAAUGGUCAAAUAUAUGCAGGAAUUCACUGUUUAAGUGUAGGUAGUCCUUGAGAAACCUAAUUAUCUGGAGGAAGAAAAUUACAUGCAUGCUUCAUACUGUAUUCUGAUAUAAAUUAAAGAAGGAUUGGGAUUUUUUCCGUUUAAAAAAGCCAUAAACUGGGGCUGGGGUUGUGACUCAGUGGUAGAGCGCUUGCCUAACAGGCGUGAGGUGCUGGGUUCAAUCCUCAGCACCACAUAAAAAUAAAAAAAACAAAAGGUAUUGUGUUCAACUACAACUUAAAAAAAAAAAAAAGCCAUAAACUGUGGGUGGUGGCAUACACCUGUAAUCCCAGCAGUUCGGGAGGCUGAGGCAGAAGGGUCAUGCAUUCAAAGCCAGCCUCAGCAAUUCAUAGAGGCCCUGAGCAAUUUAGGGAAGCCGUGUGUCAAAAUAAAAAGAGCUGGGGAAAUAGCUCAAUGGUAAAACACCUUUGGGUUCAAUCCUUGCUACCAAACAAAUAAACAAAAACCCCAAAAGUAGGUGCCAAUAAGGUAAAUAAAUAUUUGCUUUGUGGUGGUGAGAGAGGUAGUAUGUAUUGGGCUAUAUAAAUGUAUGUUUACAAUAAAAGUAAUGGAUGUUGUGGCUUAAAAUAACCCAAAUACUUCAGAGUAUAAAGACAGUUCCAGGGGCUGGGGCCAAGGCUCAGUGGUAGAGCCCUUGCCUAGCAUGUGUGAGGCACUGGGUUCAAUCCUCAGCACCACAUAAACAAAUAAACAAAAUAAAGGUAUUGUGUCCAUCUACAACUAAAAACAUAUUUACCCCCCCCCUAAAAAAAAAGACAAUUCCAUCUUUUCAGAGUUGUAAACACUGCUAAUGGUUCCUAAGAUAUAUAUUCAAACAUUUUCUUUACAUACAUAUAGUGCUCUCUUCCUUUAAUAAUUUAAGAAGUUAAGCUGUACAGUUCUGCAGCUUUCAUUUUUCAUAAUAUGUGAUUAUGUUUGCAUAUCUGUAUGUAGAGCACUAUGGUUUGUUUCUCAAAACAUUUAAAAAUGUUUAAAACCCUGUGGUGAAUUUGAAAGAUUUUUACAGUGAGUAUUCACAUACUCACUACCUAGAUCUUACUAACUUUUUACUCUCUCUCUCUUUAUCCAUAUAACUCUUUCUAGAAUCAUGGGCAGUGUAUCAUAACAUAACAUUUGCUGUCUUAACUUUUUUUUUUUCCUGGUACAAGGGAUUGAACCCAGGGGUGUUGAACAACUGAGCUACUUCUCCAGCCCACCCCCACCCCCCUUUUUUUUCUUUUGAGACAGGGUCUUGCUAAGUUGCUUAGGGCCAUGCUAAAUUGCUGAGGAUGGCUUUGACAAACUCGUCAUCCUCCUGCCCAUCUCCUGAGUCAUUGGGAUUACAGGUGUGCAUCACCACACCCAUUUAACCAUUUUAUAAAUGUCGAGGUGUCAAUUAUAUUCCCAUUCUUGUACAACUGAUCUCUUAACUUUUAUCUGCAAAUGGAAACUUUAUACCCAUUAAACAACUUUUUUCUCUCUUCCUCAACUCCUGAUAACCACUAUUCUACUUUUCAUUUCUGAGUUUGACUCUGAAGACCUCAUCAGAGUGAAAACAUGCAGUAUUUGUUUUUUGCAACUGACUCAUUGCACUUAACAUAAUGUUUUCAAGAUUUAAUCCCAACCAUUUGAGAAGUGAGGCAGGAAGAUUUGCAAGUUCAGAAUUAGUCUUAGCAAUUUAGUGAGACUCUGUGCAACUUAGGGAGACACUGUCUCAAAAAAGGGAUGGGGUUGUGGCUUAGUGAUUAGGCACCCCUGGGUUCAAUCCCUGGUAAGGGGGGGGGAGGGGGGAACCUGUGUUGUGGUAGGUAUCAGAAUCCCCACCCUGUACUAUGGGGGAAAUGAAUCCAGGGGUGUUCUACCUCUGAGCUACUUCCCUAGCCCAUUUUAUUUUUUAUUUUUGAGGCAGGGUCUCACUAAAUUGCUCAGGCUGUUUUUGAACUUGUGAUCCUCCUGCCUUAGCCUCCCAAGUAGCUGGUAUUAUAGAUCUGUACUACCUUGUCCAGCCAGAUUUUUUUUAAAGAUUGAAUAAUAUUCCAUCGUGUGUAUAUAUUACAUUUAUUCUUUUAGACAUUUAUGGACACUUGGUUUGCUUCCACAUUUUGGCUUUUGAUAUAAUGCUGUUAUGACCAUGGGUGUAUAAAUAUAUUUUUGAGACCCUACUUUGAAUUGUUUUCUUUUGUAUAUAUGCCCAGAAAUGGUAUUAUGAGAUUAUAUAUCCAUUUUAAUUAAUUGAUUGAUUAAUGAAUUAUUUCUAGUAACAGGGAUUGAGCCCAUGGGUGUUUAACCCCUGAGCCAUAUUCCCAGCCCUUUUUAUGUUUGAUUUUGAGACAGGGUCUUACUGUGUUUUGGAGGCCUCACUGAGUUGCUGAGGCUGGCUUUGUACUUGUGAUCCAUCUUCCUCAGCCUCCUAGGUAGCUGGGAGUAUAGGUGUGCAACACCAUGCCCAGCUCCAUUUUUAAUUUUUUGAGGGACUGCCAUACUAUUUUUACUUUCUAUUUGUCUGCAUCAUUUUAUAUUCCCAUUAGCCCUGCACAUCUACAUUGUUUUAUUUUGUAAUUUUGAUAGCAGCCAUUAUAAUCAAUAUGAAAUGAUAACUUGUGUUUUCGAUUUGCAUUUCCCUAAUGAUUAGUGAUGUUGAGCAUCUUUUUCUAUGUUUUUAGCCAUUUGUAUAUCAUUUUUGGAGAAAUUUCAAUUCAAAUUCUUUGCCCAUUUUUGAUUUGGGUUAUUUGUUUUGUUGUGGACUUGUAGGAGUUCUUCAUGUAUUUGUACAUCCCUUAUCAGAUGACUUAUUAGUUGUCUUUUCAUGAUGUUGAUUGCAUCCUUUGAUACCCAGAAGUUUUAAUUUUUUAUAUAGUACCGUUUGUUUGUUCUUUCUUUCUUUUUUUUUUUUUUUUUGGUACCAGUUAUUGAACCCAGGGUUGCUUUAUCACUGAGCCUUAAUUCCCCCGCCCAGCUUUUUAAAAAUCCUUUUCCAGACACGGGAGCUAAGUUGCUUAGGGCCUUGCCACAUUGCUGAGGUUAACCUUGAAUUUGAGAUCCUCCUUCCUGAGCCUCCUGAGUUGCUGGAAUUAUAGGCCUGUGCCAUCACGCCCAGCUCUGGCUCUGGUCCUCUUUUUGAUGGAGGCAUAUUCGUUUGUUAUUUGGUUACUCAGCAGUCUGAUUUACUAGUUCCUAAGGGGAAUUCAGAUCAUGUCCAGAUUUAUAAUGUUACAAAUAUGGCUUCAGGAAAUAUUAUUUACAUAUUUUUUACGUACUUGUAGCAGUCUCAAUUUUUGUGUUGAACUUGAUGGGUCAAAGGUUGUCCAGUUAAGGCUGAAGAGUGCCCAGUUGUGCUCAAAAGGGAUAUAAGAUUUUACAUCAUUGGAGGAUAGCUCUUUGUACCUAUGGUAAGUCACUAGAUGAAAAAAAUCUGUUUUUUUAUUUUGAUUUCAUAUUUAUGUUUAUAUGGCUGUGGUUUAGCAUCUUUUUUAGAUGUUAAUUGGCCACUUCUGUUUCUGUUUCUCUCUUUAUCCUUUGCCAGUUCUUUGAAUUGUUGGUGUUUUUCUCAUUGAUUUGUUACAGCUUUGUCUAUGUGUGAUAUGUUUUCUAAUCCUCCUCCCAUUUUUCUUUAGACUUUGUUUAUGACUAUGUUUGUGUAUGCAUACCCUACAUGCAUUUCUAUUAUUAUUAUUAUCAUUAUUAUUAUUAUUUUGGCUCUUGAAUUCAGGGGGACUCGACCACUGACCACAUCCUCAGCCCUAUUUUGUAUUUUAUUUAGAGAUAGGAUCUCUCUGAGUUGCUUAGCACCUCGCUUUUGCUGAGGCUGGCUUUGAACUCGGGAUCCUCUUGUCUCAUCCUCCUGAGCCUUUGGGAUUACAGACAUGCACCACUGUGCCCGGCCUCAUGUUUAUUAUGUUUUUUGUCACAUUUGUAAAUAUUUUUCCUUAUAAGAUUCUCGGUUUUGUCUCAUUUUUUUUGAAAGCAGGCUUAAUAAAAGUAAGAUAGAAUCCAUUAAAGUCAAGACUUGAUUACCUAAGAAUGAAAAAACUUCUAGGUCAAAAUAUUACUCCUACAUGAUUAGAAGUGUAGGGAGGGUAAAAAAGGAGAAAAAUCAUCCAAAUCUUUUACUCAGUGGCAAACAUCAUUGAUAUUUCACCAUACUUAUUUUUUUCCCCUAGUCUUUUCUUUCUACUUGUUUUAGUUUGUGGUGUCAUUAUUAUGUAAUGUGUUCACUGACCUUGAAAAGAUAACUCCCCCCACUGGGGAUUGAACCCGGGGUACUUUGUUUUUGAGCUAUAUCCCCAGAUUUUUUUAAUUUUAAUUUUUAUUUUGAGGCAGUGUGCCUAAGUUGCUGGGGCUGGCCUUGAAUUUGUGAUCUUCCUGCCUUCUGGAUUACAAGUCUGUGCCAUCAUGCCAGGAAAUGACACACUUUUUUUUGUUUUGUUUUGUUUUUAAACUAAGAAGGAAUAGAUGUCUCUUAAUACUUGUGAGCUGGAGUAAAGGGAGUAUUGAUAUUUAGAAGGUCAUUAUGAUGAAUUCAGAAACCUGGUCAUGUAAAAGUGACUGCAAGUUGUAUUUUAUUUUCCUUCCUUCUAUUGUACAACUUUCCUUCACUGUUUAGUAAUGUUCUCUUUUAGCAUUGCGUUUGCUUUUUUCUUUUAAACAUGCAAUGGCAGACAUAGAAAAGAGAAUUUUAUUCCAUAUUUGAAUUGGAGCUUUAAACAGAAAUCAUUGUGCCUCUGGGAGUGUGCUGUGCAUAGUGGUAGCAGUGUUAAACAUACAGAGAAAACCGUUUUCUCUGCAAAGGAAGAUAAAAUUCAGUAAAUCUCUGUUUAGUUGCCCUUCUCUACUUCAGAAGGCUUCCUUCUAGUUCUGUCUUGAGUAAAAUCUUGGCUAUUUUGCCUCAAUAAGUACAUUUCAUUAUGUGGAAAGAUAACUAGUUACAAUAAAAAAUGAUCAAUUAAUUGCUGCGGUUGCCUACUUUAAGUACUUGUGUACUUGUCUAUGUGUGAUGUUUUCUUUUUUCUUUUUCUUAAAAUUUUUUUUAAUAUUUAUUUUUUAGUUUUUCCGUGGACACAACAUCUUUGUUUGUAUGUGGUGCUGAGGAUCGAACCCAGGCCGCACACAUGCCAGGCGAGCGCGCUACCGCUUGAGCCACAUCCCCAGCCCAUGUGUGAUGUUUUCUAAUCCUCCCCCCAUUUUUCUUUAGACUUUGUUUAUGACUGUGUUUGUGUAUGCAUACCCUACAUGCAAUUCUAUUAUUAUUAUUAUUAUUAUUAUUAUUAUUAUUGUUUGGAAAGAUAACUUGUUACAAUAAAAAAUGAUCAAUUAAUUACUGCGGUUGCCCACUUUAAGGUAGUUGAAAAGGAAGAGUGGCAUUGAGGAUGAGAGCACACCUCCCAGGAGAGGUGAGAUUUUAUCUGGGCUUGGUUGUUUUGAGCAAGAAUGUGGAAGCACUGAUUAUGUUUGACAUCUGGAAAAGUGCUUUUCAGAGACAAUUGCCUUGUCCUGGUAGCUUCAGAGCAUUUCUUUGACUGGUUUUUGGGAAUAUUUCAUCAAAUAGUUUGAUAAUUUGCAAAACUUAAAUAAAAUAGCAUGUGAAAAUUUAUUUUUUUGCUUGUAUGGUUGAGAGCUUUUUUUCUGACUAGUAGGCUCUAAUUAUUGCCAGCCUAUUCAGCAUAGUUAAUUUUAUGUUAAUCUCUCUGUGUGGAUUCUGUAUAUAGAUAUGGCCUCUAUUCCAGUUUUUUACCCCUAGUGCUGGAGAUUGAACCCAGGUCUUUAGGUACUAGGCAAGCACUCUGCCAUUGAGGUACAUCCCCAGCCCAAAAAUUCUUUCUUUCUUUCUUCUUCUUCUUCUUUUUUUUUUUUUUUAAUAUAUUUUAGUUUUUGGUGGGCACAAUAUCAUUAUUUUAUUUUUAUGUGGUGCUGAGGAUUGAACCCAGUGCCUCAUGCAUGCUAGGCGAGCACUCUACCACUGAGCCACAACCCCAGCCCUUAAUCUUGUUGUAUGGAUAAUGGGCACUAUUUUAAGAACUGUUUCGAAAGUAGUAGAAAACCUAUCUCACAGUGGUAGAAGGAAGAAAAGGGAAUUUAUUGGUUUGUUACUGAAAAAAUCUCAAGGAGGAACUUUAGAUAUGGUUGAAUUCACUGUUUAAAUAGAAGCAUCAUAAAGAUUUUUUUUUUCUUUUUUCUGCUUUAGGAUGUUGCUUUGGGCCUUAAUGGACCAAGAAAUCUGUUGGCUUCAGCCUCAUGUCAUCAGGUUUAAGUCCAGUGGCUGCUGGAGUGAAAAUAAAAAACUAUUUCAUCUCAUUGUACUCCUGCCUUGGCUUGAGCUUGCCCAUUUCUAAACCAGUUACUGUGGCCAGGAGGAUGGAAAGUGCUAAUGCUUUACUGUUAGUGUUGGUUCCCACUUUGUAGAGUGAGCACAGAGGAGGGAAUGAAUCUUUUUCUCACAAGAAUGUUGAAUGGGCUGGGCGUUGUGGUACAUGCCUAUAAUUUUAGCACCUUGGGAAUCUGAUGCAGGAGGAUUGCAAGUUCAAAGCCUUAGCAAUUUAGUGAGACCCUAAGCAUCUUAGUGAGACCCUGUCUUAAAAAAAAAAAACAGGGGCUGGGAAUGUAGCUCAGUGGUUAAGUGCUCCUAGGUUCAAACCCCAGUACCCCACCCCCCAAAAAAUUGAAUAUCCUUAAAUUGCUAAGAACACAGCAUACCUUAAGCAUCAUAGGGUCUGUGGCCUCAGUAGCAACUACCAAAAAUAAUUAUACUUUUAACUGAGAAAGGUUUUCCUAUCAUCAGGCUGUCAAAGUCAUCUGUACCUUUAAAAAGUAUUUUUUUUACCAAUAAAAAUAACACUUUUGACUGAGAAAGAUCUAUUUUUUAACCUAUCAUCAGACUCUCAAAGUGGUCUGUACUCUUAAAAAGUAUUAUUUAUUUAUUUUGUUGAAGUGCUGGGACUAGAACUAAAGGCCUCACAUAUGCUAGGCAAGCACUUUGCCACUGAAUGUGUGGGCAUGGUGGUACAUGCCUGUAAUCCCAGCAACUCAUCUGUAAUCUCAGCAAGGCAGGAUGAUGAGGCAGGAGGAUUGCAAGUUCGAGGUCAGCCUCAGCAAUUUAAAAUUUAAAGAUUAAAAUUUAAAAAUUAAAAGGGCUGGGAAUCUAGUUCAGUGGUAAGAGUGUCCCUGGGUUCAGUUCUCUGUAGUGCCCCAAAUACCCCCAACCAAAAACAGUAUUGAUAGCGGGUCUAGGGAGCAAAUGUCAUUUUAACUGAAGUCUGCAACUAACAGAGGAAUUCAUGAGAAUCACAGUUGAGGGGUAAUAGAAUUGGAUUACUUUAAUCCAGUGACAAUAAGGUGUUGAAGACAGUGUAGUGUAUAUUUGGUUAGUCUUAAUACAGUGCGUAUUACCUGACUCGCUAGUUAAUGGAACUAUAGUAAUGCUUAAAUGUUUGUUCAAAUAGAUUAUUAAAAAAAAAAAAUUCUGAAGAGUUUAAAGUUACUUUUUUUUUUUUUUUUUUUGGUGGUGCUGGGAACCCAGGGCCUUGUGUGUGUGAGGCAAGCACUCGACCACCUGAGCUAUAUCCCCAGCCAUAAAUUUAAAUUUACAUUUUUAAAAUCAAAAUUAUUAUUCAUCAGCUUUUAUACCAUAUAGUCACAAGUGAGAAUUGUAGUAUAGGGAAAGUUGGAAUGAGAGAUGUAGCCUAACACUAAUUAGGACCUGAGAUUUCUAUACCAGCUCCAUUAAAAAAAAAAAAAAUUUUUUUUUGUAGUUGCAAAUGGACAGAAUGCCUUUAUUUAUUUUUAUAUGGUGCUGAGGAUUGAACCCAAUGCUUUGCACGUGCUAGGCAAGCACUCUGCCACUGAGCUACAGCCCCAACCUUACCAGCUCCAUCUUUAAAGUAUGUAUUUUAGUCCAUAUUUUUAUCAGGAGUGGCCCAACAUCCCUAGAUUUUAAAGCUCACUUUUUACCUUAAACAUCAAGUCCUUUUACUGAGAUUGUUUUGUAGAGUGAUACUAACAUUGUUGGUUUCCUACUCAUAUCCCUUCUUUUUGGUUGACUGAACCUAGUAUGAAAUCUUGAUCUUCUAGUGUGGAUCAAAGUUGGUUCUUUAAGACAACAUGAAACUAUUAUGUUCCUAGGUAAGGAAUGUUUUAAGGCAAUGUCUUAGAAUUAGGGUUUUUAAACUUUUUUGUUAGAGAUUUGUCAUUUAUUUUUGUGAAUUAUGGAUACUUUAAGUUAUUCCUCUCUUCCAACAAUUGUCUGACUGAUGUGGGUUGUGGAAAGUUUGAAAACAGAAAAACAAAGAAGCAGGGAAAAAGUAAUCUUAUUAUUAUUAUUUUUUUUUAAAGAGAGAGAGAAUCUUCUAAUAUUUGUUUUUUAGUUUUCGGCGCACACAUCUUUGUUUGUAUGUGGUGCUGAGGAUCGAACCCGUGCCGCAUGCAUGCCAGGUGAGCGUGCUACCGCUUGAGCCACAUCUCCAGCCCAGUAAUCUUAAUUUUAUUAUAUAAUUACACUUAAUGGCCAUAGUUCCCUUUUGGAAUUUGAUGAGAGUUAUAAAUCUUCCUCCCCAAAAAGAUAUAUACAGUAAAUAACUAUAUAUGAUUCUGAAACCUGUUUAUCAUAAGCUUUUUUGUUUGUUUGUUUUGUGGUGCUGGGGAUUGAACCCAUGGCCUUGUGCAUGCAAGCCACAAACCCAGCCCCACCUUCACUGUUCUUGAAGAGUUGUUUUAUCUUUCUGUUCCAUCUAUAAUAGACUUUCAUUCAGUGCUAAGACCUCACAAGUCUGAUUUCUUUGCUCCUGAUUAAAUAUAAUCUGAACUUCCAAAGGUUAAGAUCUCCUCUUGCUAACAGCGUAUUUCUGUUCUUUUUUUUUUUUUAAGAGUAUAUUCCCCCCCCCAAUACAUUUUAUUUAUUUAUUUAUUUUUGUGUGGUGCUGAGGAUCAAACUCAGGGCCUUGCACGUGCGAAGGGCUCUACCCAUGAGCUACAACCCCACCCGCGUAUUUCUGUUCUUUAAGUAGGUAAACUUUUGACAUGUUGACCUCUCACCCUUAGAAUAAUUUCUGAGGCACCAAAGCGUUAUGGUUUUCUUCCUAUCCCCCACCAUUCCUUAGUUUAGUGUGUUUUUUUCUCUGGGUCUUAAACAUUAGUGUGUUCUAUAGCAUAACUUUGAUCUUUUCGCUUUUCAAAUUUCCUGGUUCACUGUUAUGGAAUUAUUUAUCCUAAUUAAAGCCUUUGGACAGUAAGUGAGCCUUAUAACACUGAUAGGAAUUUAUAAAGAUUACCAUGUUAUUUAUUUAAACAUUUUAAAUAUAAAAUAAAAUCAUCUAGGUUAUGCAAAAUUUAUACUGUACUUCUUGUGUAUCUGGAAUUAAUUUAUAAAUGCACCAAUUUAAAUAUUGUUAUUUAGCUAGAGUUGGACUCAAAUCUUAGAAGCUACCUAGAAAAUUUUAAAAUCCUUUUUGUUAGCUGAAAUGAGAACCUGCAAGCUAAGAAGUAAGUACAUUAAGCACUUUAAAAACAUAUUUAGUUGUACUUUCUCUGUAGUGUUAAUUUUAAAUCUGAGUGAUUAUUCAUAUUGCCACAUAGUAGUUUCUAAAAAUUGUGUUUUGUCCCUCUCUGGGCAAGAUGGCUGGGGGCAAGGCUGGAGCGACUCUGGGGCAGACACACCUUUCUCGGCAGAAUCUUGCCACCUUGGAUGUUAGUUACCAAGUUGACACCACUAUCACAUGAAGUUAUCAGCAGACAAGCCACAAUUAAUAUAGGUACAAUUGGUCAUGUAGCUCAUGGGAAGUCCACAGUUGUAAAAGCCAUUUCUGAAGUUCACACUGUCAGGUUCAAAAACGAACUAGAAAGAAACAUUACAAUCAAGCUUGGAUAUGCUAAUGCAAAGAUUUAUAAACUUGAUGACCCAAGUUGUCCUCGGCCAGAAUGUUAUAGGUCAUGUGGAAGUAGCACACCUGAUGAGUUUCAUAUAGAUAUUCCAGGGACCAAAGGGAACUUCAGAUUAUCCAGAUUAUUAUUUCCUUUGUUGACUGUCCUGCCCAUGAUAUUUUGAUAGCUACUAUGCUGAAUGGUGCAGCAGUGAUGGAUGCAGCUCUUCCUUUGAUAGCUGGUAAUGAAUCUUGUCCUCAGCCUCAGACUUCUGAACACAUAGCUGCUAUAGAAAUCAUGAAACUGAAGCAUAUUUUGAUUCUACAGAAUAAAAUUGAUUUGUCAGGCUAAAGAACAGCAUUUGUACAAGGUAGCAGAAGGAGUUCCCAGUAUUCCAUUUUCUGCUCAGCUGAAAUACAUUAUUGAAGUCAUCUGUGAGUAUACAUAGUAAAGAAAGUACCAGUACCCCAAGAGACUUUACUUCAGAACCCUGACCUUUUUAUUAGGUCAUUUGAUGUUAACAAGCCUGGUUGUGAAGUUGACGACCUUAAGGGAGGUGUUGCUGGUGGUAGUAUUUAUUCCAAAAGAAGUAUUAAAGGUGGGCCAGGAGAUAGAAGUCAGACCUGGUAUUGUUUCCAAAGACAGUGAAGGAAAACUCAUGUGUAAACCAAUCUUUUCCAAAAUUGUAUCCCUUUUUAUCAAACAUAAUGAUCUUCAGUAUGCUGCUCCAGGGGGUCUUACUGGAGUUGGAACAAAAAUCGUCCCUACUUUGUGCCAUGCUGACAGAAUGGUGGGGCAGGUACUUGGUGCUAUUGGAGCUUUACCUGAGAUUUUCACAGAAUUGGAAAUUUCCUAUUUCCUGCUUAAACGACUUGUAGGUAUACGCACUGAUGGAGAUAAGAAAACAGCAAAAGUCCAAAAACUUUCUAUGAAUGAAGUGCUCAUGGUGAACAUAGGAUCACUGUCAACAGGAGGGAGCGUUAGUGCUGUCAACGCCGAUUUGGGCAAAAUUGUUUUGACUAAUCCUGUGUGCACAGAAGUAGGAGAAAAGAUUGCCCUUAGCCAAAGAGUUGAGAAACAUUGGUGUUUAAUUGGUAUGGGUCAAGUAAGAGGAGUGACAAUCAAGCCAACCGUAGAGGAUGACUAAAGAAUCCCAGUUAAAUAAUGCAUUUGGAUGGGGCUGGAAUUUCUCUUAACAACCUAAGGGUAUAUUUUCAGAGCAAUACUAUGGAAUUAAUUUCUCAGCUCAUUACCUUAGUAGAUAGCUGUAAGGUUGUUAUUAUUUUUUGAUGAAAAUUUAACCUCUAGCACUAAUACAGCAUCUACAAUAGUGUAAAAAUUGGUGUAAUGUUGGAUUGAAUCUACAUUUUAACAAAAGUUAAACAUUCCCAGGUAAUGUAUAAUUUAUACAUCCAUGCAGGUUUGAAAUGAAACUGUUUGCCACAGCCAGCCUUUGCUGUAGCAUGCAUGCCAUGGAAUCUGUUUGAAAUAAAAAUUUUUCCUCUUCAAAAAAAAAAAAUGUGUUUUGUAGUUUCAUAAACAAUUCUAGUGGAAUGAGGUUUUGUGUGAUAAACACUGCCCUCCUGUGUUUAGAGUAAGGUAAAUGCUUUGCAAACUACUCUUUUCACUCACAUUAAACUUGUGGUAAUAGAGGUAGUACUUUUAAAAAAUAUUUAUUUUUUAGUCAUAGUUGGUCACAAUACUGUUUAUUUAUUUAUUUAUUGUGAUGAGACUUGAACCCAGGGCGUCGCACACGCUAGGCAGCUCUACCGCUGAGCCACAACCCCAGCCCUUAGAGUGUAGUAUUUUAGUCAAAAAUAUAUGGCCAUAUUGUUUCUUUCCCCUCCCUCCCUCCCUCCCCCUCUCCCUCCCUCCCUCUCCUCUCCCCCUCCCCUUCCCCCUUCCUUGCCCUCUCCCUCCCCCUCCCCCUCCCUCUCCCUCUUUCUCUCCCUCUCCCUCUAGCAUUUCCUUAAUUUUUCCUCACUUAUGUGUUUUUGGUUUUUUUUGCAUUGGGGAUGAACUCCGUGGUACUCAACCACUGAGGUACAUCCCCAGUCCUAGUGACAGGGUCUCACUGAGUUUCUUAGCACCUCACUUUUUCUGUGAAUGGCUUUGAACUCACAGUCCUCUGCCUCAGCCUCCUUGGCCUAUGUGUAUGUUUUGUUAUGUGAAUUAAAUAGAGUUGAAAGCAAAAAUUACUAAGCUAUUGAAGGGGAGGGAAGGUACAUUUAAUUGUAGAAGUGCUAAAAGAAAAAACUAAGCAGGAUGUGGUGGCACAGGCCUGUUGUUAUCCCAGCUACUUGAGGCUGAGGCAGGAGGAUUUAAAGUUCUGAAAUAGCCUGUGCUACUUAUGAGACCCUGUCUCAAAAAAAAAAAAAAAAAAGAAAGAAAGAUUGGGAAAUGUGAUAGAGCACUUGCCUAGGAUGCACAAAGUCUUGGAUUCAAUUCCCAGUACUGAAAAAAAAAAUUAACAGUUCAUAACCUCUAUGGAAAAUGAAUAGUAAUAAAAAAAUGAAUAAUAAACUAGAAAAAGUGUUUUAUUGUAUGUACAAUAGCAAAAGUUUUAAUAUGAAAUACAGAGCUGAUACAAAUGGUGUAUAGACCAAGGUCAUGAAUAACCAGUUCACAAGUAAGGAAAUAUAGGUAUUAAAGUACAAACAUUAGGUCUUAUUAUAAUAACUGUGCUUGCCCAUAGCAUCUUCCUUCCCAUGCAGACUUGGCUUCAGGGUUCCUUGCUACCAUGGCCUGUGAUAAUUGGAAUAACUGGCAGAACAGGCCUGGAUGAUCUAGAAAUUUUAGUAGGAAGGACUGAAAAAUAUGCUGAUACUACAUCUGGUACCUUAAUCUGGGGGAAGAUAAAAAAUGUUGAUUGCACCCUCCUUGCAAGACACGGGAGGCAGAGCACCAUCAUGCCUUCAGAAAUCAACUACCAGGUGAAUAUCUGGGCUCUGAAGGAAGAGGACUCUACACGCCGUCAUACUGAUGACAGUAGAUUCAGCCCAGAGAUAACGUUAUCAUUGAUCAGUUCAUUGACAGGAGCAUUCCAAGGCCCCAAAGCUUCUAUGAUGGAAGUCAUUCCUGUGCUAGAGGAGUGUACCAUUUUUCAUUGGCUAAGCCAUUUUGCCCCCCAAGUGAGAGAGGUCCUCAUAAAAGGAUAUAAGAAACUAGGACUCUGGUGGCACUCAAAGGAAACAGUAGUCAAAAUUGAGGGAUCUCGUUUUAGCUCCUGAGCAGAAAGCUUGUGUUCCACAACUGGGUGUGGUGGGGUAGGGGAGUAAUUGGAUGCUCUCAAUAUGAUCACAGUUUCAGAGGUGCUUCUUGCUGAGGAGACUGGAAUGUAGGCAUUGCCAUGGCAAUAGAUUAUGAUCGCUGGAAGGAGUUCAAGGAAGCAGUUUCAGUUGACUAGAUUUUAAAGACCUUGAAAUAAAAUGCCAGUAAAGCCAAAAGUUUACUCUCCUCACUACCAUACCUCAGAUAGGGCCCAUGGAAUGAUCAGAAACCUUCCAUACACAUAUGGCACAGUUUGCUGGUUUAUUACCAAGAUACUUUUCUUCUUUCCUCAGAAGAAAAGAAGACUUUCCAGUCAUUUUGGGUAUUUUAUUUUAACUUGAAGGGGGAAAAGAUCUUGGGGAAGACAUGAAGCUUUCAUGUUCUUGCCUGUAAAAGAAGAAAGAAAAGACAUUGCAUGUAUUGGAGACUCCACCUGAAAGACUUAGACUUAUUCCUGAACACAGAGGAAAAGCAAAAUAAACAUGGGGGAACUCUUACAUUUUUUGGGGAAAAAGAACCCUAGAAGGUAACAUUCUCACCUUGCCUCCCCUUUCUAAAUUUGCAACAAUGAAGGUUGGAGGGUGAUAUUCAUUUUCCUGUGUUGCCAAGAAAUAUGAGGAAGUAAUGGGACACUGGCUUUUAUUGUGAAUGGGUAAAAUCUUUGUGGAGAGCAGUUUGGUAAAAAUUCAUCAGAAGGCUUAGAAAUACUUAUGCACUUCGUUGGGUACUCCUAGGAAUUUCUCUAAAAAAUUCUGAAAAUACAUAUAAAAAAUUAUGAAGAGGAAUAUUUAAUAGUUAUUGUUAGUUAUAAUAACAGCUAUACGAAACUAUCCAACAAUUGGAGGUCAAUUAUGGUUUAAUUAGAUUGUAAAACAGUCAGCUGAGGAUCAUGUUUUCAUGUAAUAUUAAAUGUCCUAAAGAAAUGGUUGCUGUAUGAUAUGAAAUGGAAAAAAGUAAUUUCCAGUACUAGUUUUGUUUUAAAAUGCUAUGCAAAUGUAAAAAGACUAGAAUGAAAUAUUACAUACUAUUUUGUUAUUGUAGUUGGGCGAGGAAUACUAAAUAUUAUUUUUAAAUUUUCUUUGUAUAUUCACAUUUUUGUGCAAUUAUUAUAAUAAAAUAAUAAAGUCAUAAAAGUAAUUACAAACAUCAUUAGACUUUAUACUAGUAUUGUAUAAUGUGAUUGUCAUAAUAGAUAAACCAUCAUCACUCAUAACUUUUGGAACAUGCUAAUUUGGAAAGUAAGCUAAUUUUUCUGAAACGGGGAAAUAUAAUAAUAGAAUCAAGUGCUAAGGGACAUCAGUCAAACACUUAGUAAUUGGAUUCCAAGGAGGGAAGAAAGUGGGGCACAAGCAAUUUUUGAAGACCUAAUGGUAAGAAUGCUCCAGGAGCCCUGUGAAUAAAUGUCUAGCAGAAAAUUACUUCUUGGCACAUGAUAAUAAAAGUGGUAAAAACUAAAGCAAAGAGUAACAGAAAAGCAGAAGAUUGGUUGGGGAAUAAGGGAUGCCCCGCUUUGUUACUAGCAAUUUACACUGAAGGAAUGUUAAAUUAAACUGAGUUAUUUUGGAAGAAAAAUAAUUUCAGAUGGAAGCUUGAAGUGGUGCUGAACAGAUGCAAAUUCUUAGAAGAUACAAAUAAGUACAUAAGUCUAAGUGCCUACUAUUUACAGCAGCAACAAAAAUGUCAUGUAAGGUGAGGUCAGGGCAGUAAUUGGGGUUAGUGUUCUGAAUUCUUUGAUAAUUAGGAAAAAAAAGAUAAGACAGAAAAUUCCAAUUUGGGAAAUUAAGCAAUACAUUUUCAACUAGCACACAAGUGAAGGAAGAAAUUAUGAUUCCAUUUAGAAAGCCAUUUGAGCUGAUAACAAAAAUACUAAUUUUAAUACUUGUGGGAUAUAGCAAAAGCUGUGAAUAAAAGGAAUUUAUGACCUUACAUUAAUCUGUUAGAAGAGAAAGAUGAUGAGAACAACCAGUAUCCAUCUCAAGAAGUUCCUCUUUUAAAGAGAAACACAUAGGAAGAACAUUUAUACCAGAAUUGACUUAAAAAGAUGUCAGUUUUUGGUAGUACUGGGGAUUGAACCCAGGUGUGUGCUCUACCACUGAGCUGUAUCUGACCUCUUUUUAAAAUGUUAAUUUUGAGUCAGAGUCUCACUAAUUUUCCCAGAUUUACCUCAAAUUUGAGAUCCUCAUGCCUCAACCUCUUAAAUAGCUGGGAUUAUAAUUGUGUGCCAGGAUGCCUAGCAGAAAAUGUCAAUUUAGUGCAAGUGUUUUGGUAAUUUCCUUCAUCUUAGAACAUCCUGAUUUCUCUCUCUCUCUGUGUCUGUCUGUCUGUCUGUCUUGUCUUUUUUUUUUUUUUUUUGUGAUGCUGGAGAUUGAACCCAGUGCCUCGUGUAUGUGAGGCAAGCACUGUACCAACUGAGCUAUAUCCCCAGCUCUCUCCUUUAUUUUAUUUUUUGUAAAUAUUUUUUUUAGUUGUAGAUGAACACAUAUCUUUAUUUAUUUUUUAUGUGGUGCUGAAGAUCGAACCCAGUACCUCACAUGUGUGAGGCAAGUGUUCUACCAAUGAGCCACAAUCCCAGCCCUUUCCUUUAUUCUUAAAGGAUAUUUUUGCUAGAUAUAGCACUUUGGGUCGGUAGUUUUUUUCUUCCUGCACUUUUUUAAAAAAAGGGUUUUUUUUAGUUUUAGAUGGACGGAAUGCCUUUAUUUUAUUUGUUUAUUUUUAUGUGGUGCUGAGGAUCGAUCCCAGUGCCUCACACACGCUAGGCAAGUACUGUACCAUUGAGCCACAGCCCCAGUCCCUUCUUGCACUUUAAAAUAUUCCUCCAUUGGGCUGGGUUUGUGGCUCAGUGGUAGAUUUGCUUGCCUAGUAUGUGUGAAGUACUGAGUUCAACUCUCAGCACCGCAUAUAAGUAAAUAAAAUAAAGAUCCAUUGACAACUAAAAUAUAUUUUUUAAAAAUAUUCCUGCUGCUUCCCUUCAUGAUUUCUGAUGAAAAACCCAUAGUCAUUUGAAUCAUCAUUCUCCUAAUUGGGAAUGAGUUAUUUUUCCCUGAUGGCUUUACAGAUUUUUUUUUUUUUUAAAGUUUUCAGUAGUUUGUGGUGUAUCUGGGUAUUUGUCUUGUGUGGCAUUUGCUGAUCUUCUGAAGUUUACUGCUGUCAUUCCCUCCAAUUUGUUUUCUGUAUUACACUCUGUCUUUUCCCUUUGUUACUUUGAUAACAUGAAUGUCAGAGCUUUUGAUUUUGACCCAUUGACUGUUCAUUUAUCCCCCCCUUCAUCACUCUUUCCUCUCAUCUUCAUUCUGCUAUUUAGUCCUCCUAAGAAACUUUUAGUUUUUAAGUUUUGAUUAUUAUAGUUUUUCAUUCUAAAAUGUUAUAUAUAAGUGCAAAUAAAUAAAACAUGUUAAUUUGUCUCAAGAAUAUUCACUCUUGAGUCUUUUGCUUGUUUUAUUUUUGAGAGAGGGUUCCUUGCCUCAGAUUCCUGAGUUAUAGUGAUCUCCUCCUUCCUCAGCCUCUCAAACUGGGACUAAAGGCACUGGCCACUCCUGGUUACCCUGACUUCUUGAAGUAAAGUUGUACUAGCUGCUUUUAGCAACAUUUCCUUGUUUUUGGUUUGUUGCUUGUCAUUUUUUUUGGUCAGUUAUUGAUCUUUUCCUAAUCUAUGUGUUUAGAGACUUUGGAUUUUAUAUUAGACAUUUUGAUGCUGUGUUAUGAUACUCUUUGUACUCUUGUUUAAAUUCUAGGGAAAGCUGAUUGUGGUGGUGUGUACCUGUAAUACCAGCAACUUGGGAGGAUCAUAAAUUUGAGGCCAGCUUGUGAUUUAGCAUGACCCUGUCUCAAAAUGAAAAAUAAAAGGAUUGCUGAUAUAACUUACUGCCCCGGGGUUCAAUCCCUGGUAACCCCUGAUCCCCCCUCACUCCCCCAAAAAUAUCCUAUGGAAAAUGUAGACUCUGUAGGGUUUUUUAAAGCAGGAUUUGACCUUAUUAGGUUCAAGUCACAAGUUUCUGUUCAUCUUCUGUGCACUAUAAUUCCAAUGUCUAGUUUUCAGAUCCUUUGCAUGGUUACUUGGAUCUGCCCUGCAUUUGUGUCACCUUGUGGCUACUUUAUGUGUUUGGUAUUGGUAUACUUGAUAGUAAUGUUGGUUAGGGUCAAAUCCACAGAUGUAUAGCACUGGGUGACCCCAGGAGUAAAGUAGAACUUCAUGAUAAGCUGGAUGCAGUGGCACACACCUGUAAUCCUAGUUACUUAAAGAGACUGAGGCAGAGGAUUACAAGGGCUGGAAGCCAGCCAGGGCAAUUUGGUGAGACCCUGCCUCAAAGUAAAAUAAAAAAGUGCUGAGAAUGUAGCUCAUUGGUAAAGUACCCUGGGGGAUUUGGGGAGGGGAGAGAAGAAGAACAACAACUGUAUGGUAUCACUUUUUUGAGCUCUCUUUUCUCUUCGAGGUCCCUGAUACUUUUUGUUUUGUUUUGUUUUUUGAGCAGGGGAGAGUACCAGGAAUUGAACCCAGGGACGCUUAAGCACUGAACCAGAUCCCCAGCCUUUUCAAAAAUAUUUUAUUUAUAGACAAGGUCUUGCUGAGUUGCUUAGGGCCUCCCUAAAUUGCUGAGUCUGGUUUUGAACUCUCAAUCUUCCUGCCUCAGCCUCCCAAAAUGUUGAGAUUACAUGCAUGCGCCACUGUGCCCGGUCUCUGACACUUUUGGAAAAACUGUGUAGAGAUUCCACAGAAGAUUAGAAAUGGAACCACCAUAUAACACAGCUACUAGAAACUCCUCCUAGAAACCCUUUCUUGUAAUCUGGCUAGAAAACUGGGUUUUUAAUUUUUAUCUUAUUUUUAAAAAUCUUUUUAAUACAUCAUAAUUAUACAUAAUAUUGGGGUUCAUUUUGAUGUAGUCAUACAUGCAUGAAAUGUAAUUUGUUCUACUUUAGUUCCCAAUAUUUUCUUUUUCCUUUCCCUCUUUCCUCCUUGAUUCCCUUUUCUCUACUGGUCUUCCUUCUUUUGAUUUAGCUCUUUUUUUUCCCCCCAAUUAGUGCUUUAUAGAUACACACAUGAACGUGAAAAUCACUGUGGUAUAUUCCUGUACGUAUGUAUGUACAUAGCAUAAUUUGGUCAAUUUCAUUCCAUAGUUCCUCUUCUUUCCCAUUCCUUUUCCUUCCUCCUUAACCCUUUUUCUCUACUCCACUGGUUUGCCUUCUGUUUUCAUGGGGCACCCCACCCACUUUUCCUUAUUUUGCUCUUGCUUCCUUCCGCAUGUGAGAGAAAAUGUUCCGUCUUUGACUUUCAGUCUGACUUAAUUUCACUUAGCAUGAUGUUCUCCAUUUCCAUCUAUUUAUACCAGCAAAUACCAUAACUUCAUUCUUUUUUAUGACUUAGUAAAACUCCAUUGUAUAUCCUUACCACAUUUUCUUUAUUCAUUCAUUUGUUGAUGGACACCUGGACAGGUUCCAUAAUUUGUGAAUUGCACUAUUGUGAAUUGCACUGCUAUAUACACUGAUGUUCUUGUAUCAGUAUAAUAUGUUGAUUUUUGUUCUUUUGGAUAAAUAUUAAAAAGUGAAAGUAGCUGUGUCAUAUGGUGGUUCCAUUUCUAGUCUUCUAUGGAAUAUAGCUUUUCAAAAUGGUCAUACUAAUUUGCAAUCCCACCAGCAAUUUAUUUUUUGGUACUGGGGAUUGAACCUCAUGGUGCCUGACCACUCAGAUACAUCCCCAAUCCUUUUUAUUUUUAAUUUUGAGACAGGAUCUUGCUAAGUUGCAUAGGGCCUCAUAAGUUGUUGAGUCUGGCCUUGAACUUUUGAGUGAUCUUUCUGCCUCAGACUCCCCACUUGUUGGGAUUACAGAUAUACGUCACUAUGCCUGGCCUCUCACUGACAAAUUUAUAAUUAUACCCUUUUCCCCACAUCCUCGUCAGCAUUUAUUAUUAUUAAUUAAUUAUUAUUAUUAUUAUUUGUAUUCUUUUUUAAAAAAUUUACAUAUGUAUGUUUUUUUUUUAGUUGUUGCUGAACCUUUAUUUUAUUCAUUUAUUUAUAUGUGGUGCUGAUAAUCGAACCCAGUGCUUCACAUAUGCUAUGCUAGUGUUCUCUCACUGAGCCCCAGCCCCUCUCCAGCCCUUUUAUUUUAUUUUUUUUGAGACAGGGUCUUACUAAGUUGCUGACACUGGCCUCAAACUUGGGAUCCUCCUUAUUUAGUCUUCCAAGUCAAUAGUGAAUAUUCAAAUUAUUAAUUUUAGCUUUUUCGAUUUAUUUCUGCUUCAGGAUAUGUCUGUUUGGGAUUGAGGGAAGAAGAUCUGGGUUGAAAAUUCUCUGGAUGUGUAUGUUUUGUAUGUAACUAUUAAGACAAUUAUUAAAUACAAUUACAUAUGUAAUUAAAAGGAUAGGAAGUUAAAAUAAGUAAUAAUUUAUUAUUAUAUACUUAUUUCUCAGGUCUUAGAAAAAUACCCCAAUACACCUAUGAGUCAUAAAGAAAUUCUUCAAGUUAUCCAGAGAGAAGGACUAAAAGAAAUCAGGUGAGUUAUUUAAAUAUUAUUAGCAACAAUUAUAAUAC